UACGUAGGGUGCGAGCGUUAAUCGGAAUUACUGGGCGUAAAGCGUGCGUAGGCGGUUCGUUAAGUUCGUUGUGAAAGCCCCGGGCUCAACCUGGGAACUGCAAUGGAAACUGGCGGGCUUGAGUGUGGCAGAGGGGGGUGGAAUUCCGCGUGUAGGCAGUGAAAUGCGUAGAGAUGCGGAGGAACACCGAUGGCGAAGGCAGCCCCCUGGGCCAACACUGACGCUCAGGCACGAAAGCGUGGGGAGCAAACAGG
rnacentral:rRNA from 1 species